rnacentral:rRNA from 1 species
UGGAUCCAGACUUUGAUCAUGGCUCAGGAUGAACGCUAGCUACAGGCCUAACACAUGCAAGUCGAGGGGCAUCAUGGGGGUCGCUUGCGACCCCUGAUGGCGACCGGCGAAUGGGUGAGUAACGCGUAUCCAACCCGCCCCGCGCCCGGGGAUAGCCCUUGGAAAUGAGGAUUAAGACCCGAUAUGUGCCCUGGCCGCAUGGCCGGGACAUGAAGCAGACGCGGGAUGGGGAUGCGUUGGAUUAGCCAGCCGGCAGGGCAGCGGCCUACCGGGGCGACGAUCCAUAGGGGUUCUGAGAGGAAGGUCCCCCACACUGGCACUGAGACACGGGCCAGACUCCUACGGGAGGCAGCAGUGAGGAAUAUUGGUCAAUGGGCGAGAGCCUGAACCAGCCAAGUAGCGUGCAGGAUGACGGCCCUACGGGUUGUAAACUGCCUUUGCGGGAGAAUAACCGGCGCCACGCGUGGCGCCCUGCAGGUAUCCCGUGAAUAAGGACCGGCUAAUUCCGUGCCAGCAGCCGCGGUAAUACGGAAGGUCCGGGCGUUAUCCGGAUUUAUUGGGUUUAAAGGGAGCGCAGGCGGAGGAUCAAGCCAGCCGUGAAAUGGCGGCGCUCAACGCCGUCCGGCGGUUGGAACUGGUCCCCUUGAUUGCGGGAGAGGAAGGCGGAACUCGUGGUGUAGCGGUGAAAUGCAUAGAUAUCACGAAGAACCCCGAUUGCGAAGGCAGCCUUCCGGCCCGUGAAUGACGCUCAUGCUCGAAGGCGCGGGUAUCAAACAGGAUUAGAUACCCUGGUAGUCCGCGCGGUAAACGAUGAAUGCUCGGGAUUCGGGCUUUAUGUCUGAGUCCCCCAGCGAAAGCGUUAAGCAUUCCACCUGGGGAGUACGCCGGCAACGGUGCAACUCAAAUGAAUUGACGGA